rnacentral:tRNA from 1 species
CCGGUUGUAGCUCAGUGGAUAGAGUGCUUCCCUCCGAAGGAAGAUGUCGGAGGUUCGAAUCCUCUCAGCCGGGCCA